rnacentral:rRNA from 1 species
UAUUGGUCAAUGGACGCAAGUCUGAACCAGCUAUGCCGCGUGAAGGAUUAAGGUCCUCUGGAUUGUAAACUUCUUUUAUCUGGGACGAAAAAAGGUCUUUCUAGAUCACUUGACGGUACCAGAUGAAUAAGCACCGGCUAACUCCGUGCCAGCAGCCGCGGUAAUACUGAGGGUGCAAGCGUUAUCCGGAUUCACUGGGUUUAAAGGGUGCGUAGGCGGGCAGGUAAGUCAGUGGUGAAAUCCUGGAGCUCAACUCCAGAACUGCCAUUGAUACUAUCUGUCUUGAAUAUUGUGGAGGUAAGCGGAAUAUGUCAUGUAGCGGUGAAAUGCUUAGAUAAGACAUAGAACACCCAUUGCGAAGGCAGCUUACUAGGGCAUAUAUUGACGCGAGGCACGAA